GACGAACGCUGGCGGCGUGCCUAAUACAUGCAAGUCGAGCGGACUGAUUAAGAGCUUGCUCUUAUGACGUUAGCGGCGGACGGGUGAGUAACACGUGGGCAACCUGCCCUGUAGAUCGGGAUAACACCGAGAAAUCGGUGCUAAUACCGGGUAAUAUCUGAGAUCACAUGAUCUUAGGUUAAAAGAUGGCUCCGGCUAUCACUACAGGAUGGGCCCGCGGCGCACUAGCUAGUUGGUAAGGUAAUGGCUUACCAAGGCGACGAUGCGUAGCCGACCUGAGAGGGUGAUCGGCCACACUGGGACUGAGACACGGCCCAGACUCCUACGGGAGGCAGCAGUAGGGAAUCUUCCGCAAUGGACGAAAGUCUGACGGAGCAACGCCGCGUGAGUGAUGAAGGGUUUCGGCGCGUAAAGCUCUGUUGUUAGGGAAGAAACAGUACCGAACGAACUAGGUCGGUACCUUGACGGUACCUAACCAGAAAGCCACGGCUAACUACGUG
rnacentral:rRNA from 1 species